UGAGGAAUAUUGCGCAAUGGGCGAAAGCCUGACGCAGCGACGCCGCGUGGAGGAUGAAGGUUUUCGGAUUGUAAACUCCUGUUAAGUGGGAAGAAACGACAAAAUAUAAUACAUUUUGUAACUGACGGUACCAUUAAAGAAAGCACCGGCUAACUUCGUGCCAGCAGCCGCGGUAAUACGAGGGGUGCAAGCGUUAUUCGGAAUUAUUGGGCGUAAAGGGUGCGUAGGCGGCGUAUUAAGUCAACUGUUAAAACCUCCAGCCUAACUGGAGAUCAGCAGUAGAUACUGGUAUGCUAGAGGAUGGAAGAGAGAAGUGGAAUUCUUGGAGUAGCGGUGGAAUGCGUAGAUCUCAAGAGGAACACCAAUGGCGAAGGCAGCUUCUUGGUCCAUAUCUGACGCUGAUGCACGAAAGCGUGGGGAGCAAACAGGAUUAGAUACCCUGGUAGUCCACGCCGUAAACGAUGAUCACUAGAUGUUAAUUCUGCUUGCAGAAUUAGUGUCGUAGCUAACGCGAUAAGUGAUCCGCCUGGGGACUACGGUCGCAAGAUUAAAACUCAAAUGAAUUGACGGGGUCAUAGCUG
rnacentral:rRNA from 1 species